rnacentral:rRNA from 1 species
ACUCCUACGGGAGGCAGCAGUGGGGAAUAUUGCACAAUGGGCGCAAGCCUGAUGCAGCCAUGCCGCGUGUGUGAAGAAGGCCUUCGGGUUGUAAAGCACUUUCAGUUGUGAGGAAGGUGGUGUCGUUAAUAGCGGCAUCAUUUGACGUUAGCAACAGAAGAAGCACCGGCUAACUCCGUGCCAGCAGCCGCGGUAAUACGGAGGGUGCGAGCGUUAAUCGGAAUUACUGGGCGUAAAGCGCAUGCAGGUGGUUUGUUAAGUCAGAUGUGAAAGCCCGGGGCUCAACCUCGGAAUUGCAUUUGAAACUGGCAGACUAGAGUACUGUAGAGGGGGGUAGAAUUUCAGGUGUAGCGGUGAAAUGCGUAGAGAUCUGAAGGAAUACCGGUGGCGAAGGCGGCCCCCUGGACAGAUACUGACACUCAGAUGCGAAAGCGUGGGGAGCAAACAGGAUUAGAUACCCUGGUAGCACAGAG